GUCUCUUAGAGUCAACGGUUAUUCGUGAGUAUUUUUAUAUUCGUCGAAAGGAUAUCCUGAAUUUUGAAAAUAUGGCAACUAUCGUAAGAGUUAAAAGGCGGAGAGAUGAAAAACCAGCAGACUCUUUAGUCUUUAGUCGUAAAAGAGCUAGACUGGAAAAUGGCGUAGCUUCUAAAUCCGAAGAGGGUAUAAAAGAUCAAGAACAAGUGUUUAAAUUUGCCGGGACUGUUCAACCUGAGGAUAAGGUCGUACCGCAUGUUAAAUCGGCCAUUAAAAAAGAUAAAUUACAACGAGAAUAUAAAAGACAUGAGUUGGGCGAUUUUAAGGAAGAUAAUAGAGAUAUUAAGCAAUCGUCAAGCAAGUCCGGACGUUACAAAAUCGUCUCGGAAAAAAGAGCAAUCGAAUUAGAUAGCUUGGACGGUGAACUUGAAACUGAAAAAAAAAAUCUAGACAACAAGUAUACUCUUCUCGAUAUAACCACCGACGAUAAGAAAGAAACUGAGGAAAAACUCGGAUGUAACGGCGAAGAGAUGAUUCGAACCCAGUCAGAUUUGGAAUACGUUUACGAUGUCUACUAUUAUAAUAAAGGAGAUUUUGGAGAUCCUCGAAUAGAUGAAAUAUUGGAUAUCAGACCUGUAUUUAACGAUGUAAUUUUAAAUCAAUAUAGGUGCGGUGACGAUAGCGAUGAUCAAGCUUAUGAAGAUGAUGACGACAGCAAUGACGAAGGAAACUAUCGUAACGACUAUCCUGACGAGGAUCCUCAUUAUAUUGAUCCUGAAAAUUUUGAUGACGAUGUAGAAGAUGACGAUUAUACGAAAUACGUGCAGAGUUACUACGACGAAAGUGAAAUAACUCAGGCAAUGAAGGAAUGGACUAUAGAAGCUAGUCCUGAUCACUCAGACGUUAGUGAUGACGAUAGAGGAGGAAAAGUGUCAUAUGAAGAUUAUAAAUCUCGAGUUAUGAAAGAACUCGGAAUGGAUAGCUAAACCUGCUAUUUCAGCAACCUUAGAAUAAAAACUUGCGCUAUUGUUGUGUGAUGCAUGCAAAAACAAAGAGAAACAUUGGCUCCAUUAUCAUCUUUUUAACACGCUAUAUACAAGUAUAUAUAAUUUCGAUCUCAGAGGAGCUUUUUGCCUAGCUGCUUGCCAACCGUUUCAGUAGUUCUAAUAUCUCAUAAAAAAAAACUUUUGUACUGAGGAGAAAGAUGAAUUUAUCAAAUCUUAAUGAAUUUCCCCCGGAAGCUGGACCACCACAACCUCCACCGCAAAGUUCUCAGAAUAUGAAAGACAUUGUCAUUGGUGUUUCAACAGCUUCAGCACUAAUCUUAAUAAUUGGUUUAAUUGGUAAUACACUAAGUUUUAUUGUUUUCAGUAGAAAUUCAAUGGCAGAUUCGACCACAUCUGUUUAUUUAAGAUUUUUGGCUGUUGUCGAUUCGUUAAGUUUAAUAUUUAAUUGUAUCUUUAUGACUUUGAAGUUUUAUGUUGGCUUUGUGGAAUUAUCUCAACCAUUUUUAAAAUACUUUGUAUGUGCAUUCAUUUUCCAUGGUAGCUUGUCAUUUAGUGAGGGGAGUUCUUGGCUAAUUGUUGCCAUGACAAUUGAUAGAAGUAUCUAUAUAUUCCUACCAACAAAAUCUAAACUAAUAUGUACAAAAUCUAGAUCAUCAAUUGUAUGCAUUUCUAUAAUAUGCAUAUUUGUGAUUUUCUUUCAUCCUUACUAUUACAUAACUGGGCAGGUUGACGUAAUGAGAAAUCCGAAAAAUAAAUGGGAAACUGGUUUAUUCUGUAGUGGAAUUUCAGAAUCGGCUAGAAUAUUCUUAUACGAUGUUUUAAUACCUUUCGACGCUCUUAUAUCGACAAAGAAGAGACAUGAUUU
rnacentral:misc_RNA from 1 species